GACGAACGCUGGCGGCGUGCUUAACACAUGCAAGUCGAACGGAAAGGCCCUUUCGGGGGUGCUCGAGUGGCGAACGGGUGAGUAACACGUGGGUGAUCUGCCCUGCACUUUGGGAUAAGCCUGGGAAACUGGGUCUAAUACCGGAUAGGACUACGCGAUGCAUGUCGUGUGGUGGAAAGCUUUUGCGGUGUGGGAUGGGCCCGCGGCCUAUCAGCUUGUUGGUGGGGUGAUGGCCUACCAAGGCGACGACGGGUAGCCGGCCUGAGAGGGUGUCCGGCCACACUGGGACUGAGAUACGGCCCAGACUCCUACGGGAGGCAGCAGUGGGGAAUAUUGCACAAUGGGCGCAAGCCUGAUGCAGCGACGCCGCGUGAGGGAUGACGGCCUUCGGGUUGUAAACCUCUUUCAGCACAGACGAAGCGCAAGUGACGGUAUGUGCAGAAGAAGCACCGGCCAACUACGUGCCAGCCGCCGUAAUAC
rnacentral:rRNA from 1 species